rnacentral:tRNA from 3 species
GGAAAAGUGGCAGAAAUUGUGUUUGAUUUGAAAUCAAUUGAUAAAGGUUUAAAUCCUUUCUUUUCUU